AGUCUGGAGAAGUGCUUUCCGCGCUGGACCGUGUAUAAGUCCCUUGGAACAGGGCGUCGUAGAGGGUGAGAAUCCCGUCUUUGACACGGACUACCAGUGCUUUGUGAUGCGCUCUCAAAGAGUCGAGUUGUUUGGGAAUGCAGCUCAAAAUGGGUGGUGAAUUCCAUCUAAAGCUAAAUAUUGGCGAGAGACCGAUAGCGAACAAGUACCGUGAGGGAAAGAUGAAAAGCACUUUGGAAAGAGAGUUAAACAGUACGUGAAAUUGCUGAAAGGGAAACGCUUGAAGUCAGUCGCGUCGGCCGGAACUCAGCCUUGCUUUUGCUUGGUGCACUUUCCGGUUGACGGGCCAGCAUCGAUUUUGACCGUCGGAUAAGGGCUAGAGUAAUGUGGCACCUCCGGGUGUGUUAUAGACUCUAGUCGCACACGGCGGUUGGGAUCGAGGAACGCAGCGCGCCGCAAGGCAGGGGUUCGCCCACUUUCGCGCUUAGGAUGCUGGCAUAAUGGCUUUAAACGACCCGUCUUGAAACACGGACCAAGGAGUCUAACAUACCUGCGAGUGUUUGGGUGGAAAACCCCAGCGCGUAAUGAAAGUGAAAGUUGAGACCUCUGUCGUGGAGGGCAUCGACGCCCGGACCUGACGUUCUCUGACGGAUCCGCGGUAGAGCAUGUAUGUUGGGACCCGAAAGAUGGUGAACUAUGCCUGAAUAGGGUGAAGCCAGAGGAAACUCUGGUGGAGGCUCGUAGCGAUUCUGACGUGCAAAUCGAUCGUCAAAUUUGGGUAUAGGGGCGAAAGACUAAU
rnacentral:rRNA from 1 species